rnacentral:rRNA from 1 species
UACGUAGGGUGCAAGCGUUGUCCGGAAUCAUUGGGCGUAAAGAGCGUGUAGGCGGCUCGAUUAGUCCGCUGUAAAAGUCCAGGGCUCAACCCUGGGAUGCCGGUGGAAACUGUCGGGCUAGAGUCCGGGAGAGGCGAGUGGAAUUCCUGGUGUAGCGGUGAAAUGCGCAGAUAUCAGGAGGAACACCGAUGGCGAAGGCAGGUCUCUGGGCCGAUACUGACGCUGAGGAGCGAAAGCGUGGGGAGCGAACAGG